rnacentral:lncRNA from 1 species
UGGCUUUUUCAACUUUUUUGGAUUCGAGCGUCACUGAUGAGUCUUUUGUAGACGAAACGCGCGUCUGGCGUAUAUACUAAAUUUAGUCCUGGUAUCUAUGAUGAGUUUAUUUAUCAUAGUCCUUCGUAAUUAAUUCCAUUUUUCAUUUGCAUAUAUUUGAAGCUGGUAUAUUUAUUGAAGGAUACAUAUUUCUUGUUAAAAAAGUUUUUAUGGAAUACAUUUUUUAGCAUUUAUUUUGAUUUUUUUUU